rnacentral:rRNA from 1 species
UACGAAGGGGGCGAGCGUUGUUCGGAAUUACUGGGCGUAAAGGGCGCGUAGGCGGCCGAUCAAGUCAGAUGUGAAAGUCCUGGGCUUAACCUGGGGACUGCAUUUGAUACUGAUUGGCUUGAAUUCGGGAGAGGAUAGCGGAAUUCCCAGUGUAGAGGUGAAAUUCGUAGAUAUUGGGAAGAACACCCGUGGCGAAGGCGGCUCUCUGGUACGUGACUGACGCUGAGACGCGAAAGCGUGGGGAGCGAACAGG